AAAUUCUAGCAACUCUAUCAAACAUAUCUUUUAUUUUCAUUAUAAAGUAAUCAAAUAAUUGGUUUCUUUAAGAAAAGAAGGAAAAUAUGUCUGAAAUGUUUAAAUUUGUUAAUGUUAUGAUCCUCUUAUUUUCCUUAUUUAUAAUUGUGUCCAAUGCAAAGAUGUGUUUAACUGCAUUAAAUUGUGAUGAAGAUCUCUGUAACUAUCCAGAUGUUCCAAGGUGCAAAUGGUUUAGUUGUAUAUGCAUACGUGAUGAAUCAAUUUUAUUUAGUGACGCUCUUUAGCUAGCUCAGUGAAACAUGAAGAUGCAAAUUAAGGACUUUUGGCUUAAACUGGUGGUUGACAUAAUCUAAUAAUUUAGUUUCGUAUUACUCAAUUUUAAAUAAUGCAUUUGUUCAACACAUGUUGUAAUAAUAAACUAUGAAUUAUAAGUGUUAUCUUGCUAUCGAGAUAGUAAAAGUUAUUAUUUUAUUGGCU